rnacentral:lncRNA from 1 species
UGGGUCUACUCUUGUGCCACACACACAUACCACAUAUAUACACACACCACUCAUAUAUGCACACCACACACACACACCCCACACACACACACUGCACACACACACAUGCACAUACCACACCACACAUACCACACACACACACUGCACACACACACAUACAUACCACACACACACCACAAAUAUACACACACCAUUCAUACACACACCACACACACACACAUACACACACCACACCACACACACUGCACACACACACCACACACACCAUACCACACACACCAUACCACACACACCACACACACACACACACCACACACACACACACUGGACACACACACACACACUCCACACACAUACUGCACCACACAUACUGCACACACACGACACAUACACACACCCACACACACAUACACACCACACACAUACACACACCACUCAUAUACACACACACACACCGCAUCGCACAUACUGCACACACACACACACCACCACACACACACACAUACACACCAUACACACACUACAUAUAUACACACACCACUCAUAUACACACCACACACACACAUGCACACACCACACCACACACCACACACACACACACAGCACCACACAUACACAUACCACACACACACCACACCACACACACACACACCACACACAUAUUCACAUACCACACACACAUACCCCACAUACACACACACCAUACCACACACACCACACACACACAUACCACACACCACACUCACACACACUGGACACACAUACACACCACACAUAUACACACACCACUUAUAUACACACACACACACGCACACACCACAUCACACAUACUGCACACAUACACACACAAAUACCACCACACACAUGCACACUCCACACCACACACACCGCACACACACACACCACCACACAUACACAUACCACAUACACACCACACACACACACACACACCACACACACACACAUACACACACACAUACCACACAUCACAAUCACUCACACACACACCACACAUACACAUACCACACAUACACACACUGCACGCACGCACACACACCACACACACAUAGUACACACACACUACACACACACACUAUACACACACACCCCACACACCACACACACACCCCACACACCACACACAUAUACACACACAGACACACCACACACACCACACACAUAUACAAACACCACAGACACACACACCACACACACACACACACACACACACACACC